rnacentral:rRNA from 1 species
CAUCGCCACGGUAAUACGAACCGUGCGAACGUUAUUCGGAAUCACUGGGCGUAAAGCGUGCGCAGGCGGUUCGUUAAGACAGAUGUGAAAUCCCCGGGCUUAACCUGGGAACUGCAUUUGUGACUGGCGAGCUAGAGUAUGGCAGAGGGGGGUAGAAUUCCACGUGUAGCAGUGAAAUGCGUAGAGAUGUGGAGGAAUACCGAUGGCGAAGGCAGCCCCCUGGGCCAAUACUGACGCUCAUGCACGAAAGCGUGGGGAGCAAACAGGAUUAGAUACCCGCGUAGUCCCUGUCUCUUAUACA